rnacentral:rRNA from 1 species
UACGUAGGGUGCACGCGUUAUCCGGAAUUAUUGGGCGUAAAGAGCUCGUAGGCGGUUUGUCGCGUCUGCUGUGAAAACCCGAGGCUCAACCUCGGGCCUGCAGUGGGUACGGGCAGACUAGAGUGCGGUAGGGGAGAUUGGAAUUCCUGGUGUAGCGGUGGAAUGCGCAGAUAUCAGGAGGAACACCGAUGGCGAAGGCAGAUCUCUGGGCCGUAACUGACGCUGAGGAGCGAAAGCGUGGGGAGCGAACAGG